rnacentral:rRNA from 1 species
UACGUAGGCAGCAAGCGUUGUUCGGAGUUACUGGGCGUAAAGGGUGCGUAGGCGGCUUUUUAAGUUUGGUGUGAAAUCUCCCGGCUUAACUGGGAGGGUGCGCUAUAGACUGCGGGGCUCGAGUGUGGGAGAGGAAAGUGGAAUUCCUGGUGUAGCGGUGAAAUGCGUAGAUAUCAGGAGGAACACCGGUGGUGUAAACGGCUUUCUGGACCAUAACUGACGCUGAGGCACGAAAGCGUGGGUAGCAAACAGG